GUUUAUUUAUUUGUUAAUAAAUAAUGCACAGAAUCACUAUAUAGCAAGACGCAUACAUUUCUAUUGCUGCAUUUUCAGUUUCCCUGUCUUUUUCUUCUUUCAUCUCCAUUCUGCUAUUAAGCCCAUCCACUAAAUUUUGCUGAUUUAAAAUAGUGUAUUUUUCAGUUCUCAAAUUUUCAUUUGAUUUUUUUACAGUUUUAAUUUUCCUUCUGAAAAUAAUCCUCUAAGGAGAUUGGAAAUUGGGCUGUCAUGGGAACAGGGUCGCUAAAGAAGCCAGAGUGGAGGCUGCAAGGAAUAUGGAUUUAAAUGAAUUUUGGCUGUACCAUCAAGCAGUCUGAUCACUGAGGAAAUAUCAAAAGCUUCACCCGAGUGACUCAUCACCCAAAUUCAACAGAGAGUGAAGAGAAAUGUGCUUUCUGCUGAUAUUGUGCCUGAAGAGGAAUUAUAGACUUGCCAAAGAAGCUGCUUAUUUCACAGAAGGACGGUGCUGGCUGAAAGAUGCUUCCUUGAAACUGAGAGACUGCUGCCUUAGACAGGUCUCCUUGAAGAGAUAUCAAACCUCACCAUGUCACUAUCUACUACCUUGGAGUCUGGAGAACACUGAAUGGAUGAAUGGAUGGAUGGACAAAAGGAUGAAAUAGAUGGAUUAAUGAACAUUAUCUGCUGACUGAUAUUCAAAGUCCUUAGCAUAUAGUCUUAGGUUUUCAAAGAGAGUCUGAGCCUGCAGAGCAAAGGAAUGGAAAAUUUGAGAGCUUUUUAUAAUAAGAAAGUGCAUGUCUUGUUAUAGACAUAUAAUGAAUAUAUGUAUUCUAAUAGCACCAUGCAAAUUGCCUGUGUUUAAGAAUACUUGAACUUUUGAAUAGCUCAUAAAGGGAAUGAAGAAAAAAGAAAAUUUGAGAGCUUUUUGAUGGC
rnacentral:lncRNA from 10 species